UUGUACUGACAUAUUUAGGAGUAUUAUCUGCAAGUUCACGUUCAUUUUACUACAUAGUGAUUAAAAGGAUACAGUAAUUAGUUUUGGAGAGUAAACUGGUAAUUGACUUGACCUUGACCUACAAUUUCAGAUUCAACAAUGGCAAAAACAGCAGCAGAAAGGCAAAGAGAGUACAGGGCAAGAAGAAAUGCUGAUCCAGAACGAAGGGAAAAGUACCUCAGGAGUGAACGCAUGAGAUGGACAAAAUAUGUUUUAGCAGGAAAGAAGAAAGGAAUAGGAGAUCUAGAUAAGAGAGGUCAAAAGAUGAGGAGAAAGGGAUGGAGAAAAGCGAAGGAGCGGCAAAAGCAAAGGGAAAUGGCUGUUAAUACUAUUGCCACCCCUCCACAAAGUCCUGAUAGAGACGUGGUGAUGUCACAUGAGCCCACAAGACAAUCUGUGAAGGGGAAGAAAAAAUCAAGAAAGACAAAAGACAAAUUGAGAAAGCAGGUAGCUGAUUUACAGAAAUGUCUUGAUGAAGAAAGGAGGGCCAAAGAAAAGUACAAAAAAAGGCUCCAGCGUUUAGAAAAGAAGACUUCGUCAAAAUCCACAGCUGUACCAAGUGAUGUCAGAAGAUCUGCACUGCAUCACACAGCACUCGUUGCUCAAAUAAAGGAGCAUUA